rnacentral:rRNA from 1 species
GAUGAACGCUGGCGGCGUGCUUAACACAUGCAAGUCGAACGAAACACCUUAUUUGAUUUUCUUCGGAACUGAAGAUUUGGUGAUUGAGUGGCGGACGGGUGAGUAACGCGUGGGUAACCUGCCCUGUACAGGGGGAUAACAGUCAGAAAUGACUGCUAAUACCGCAUAAGACCACAGCACCGCAUGGUGCAGGGGUAAAAACUCCGGUGGUACAGGAUGGACCCGCGUCUGAUUAGCUGGUUGGUGAGGUAACGGCUCACCAAGGCGACGAUCAGUAGCCGGCAUGAGAGAGUGAACUGCCACAGUGGGACUGAGACACAGCCCAAACUCCUACGGAAGGCAGCAGUGGGGAGUAUUGCACAAUGGGGGAAACCCUGAUGCAGCGACGCCGCGUGAGUGAAGAGGUAUAUCGGUAUGUAAAGCUCUAUCAGCAGGGAAGAAAAUGACGGUACCUGACUAAGAAGCCCCGGCUAACUACGGG